CACGAAGCCGGAAUCGCUAGUAAUCGCAGAUCAGAAUGCUGCGGUGAAUACGUUCCCGGGUCUUGUACACACCGCCCGUCACACCAUGGGAGUCGGAAAUGCCCGAAGUCAGUGGCCCAACCGGAAGGAGGGAGCUGCCGAAGGCAGGUCCGGUGACUGGGGUGAAGUCGUAACAAGGUACC
rnacentral:rRNA from 1 species